AUGGGCAAGUUAUCAAAAGUCAGACGGUGGGAGAAUGGGGAGAUUGCAGCUAUGCCAUAACUCUGCAGUACAGGCAAGACAUUGUCCAGAUACCAGUUAGCUGAAGCAUGAACAGGUGCCAUCUUAAUUCUGGUGUCUCGAAUAGCAGUGGCAUAAUAUUCCCGUGUGCUCCAGGAAAACUCAUCAGGCAACUCUUUAACUAUAAGAAUGUCAUUCUUCAACACAUCAAUAAAGUGAUCGACAUCAAAUAUAUCCAUGAAUGAGCUUGAAU
rnacentral:misc_RNA from 1 species